rnacentral:lncRNA from 1 species
GGAAUAAUAAUUUUCAAAUUUCUGAAAUAAGUUGACAUAAUGCUGUAAUUAUUGUUUCACCUUUUUUUUUAAUUAUUAUUUAUUACUAAAUAAUAAAAUAGAUAGCACGCUAUUCGUUUCGUUUAUUUCAUUUUGAAAUAAACUUAGCUUGAAAAUGUGAAUCAACUAGGAUUCAAACUUGGGACCUCGGGUACCGACCACCAAACCCUUUGCCACUUGCUCCAAGGACGGUCGGUAUUAAUUACAUAAUGGAUAAAUAAUAAUAAUUAUUGAUUUAUUAUUUAUAAUUAAUUAUUAAUACUUUGAUAAUUAAUAUUAUUAAUUUAUUAUUUAUAAUUAAUUAUUAAUAAUUAAUUAUAAUUAUUAUUAUUUAUUAAUAAUAUUAUUAUUAUUAUUAAUUACAUAAUGGAUAUUAUUAUUAAUUAAUAAUUAGAUAAUCGAUAUUAUUAUUAAUUUAUUAUUUAUUAAUAUUUAUUAAUAUUUAUAACUAAUUAUUAAUAAUUUAUUUAUUAUUUAUUUUUAAGUAAUAUUUUGAUGCUAAUUAAUUAGAUAACGUAAUUUUAAUUUCAAAUUAUAACUCUUAUUCCUCUUGUUCCAAUCUAACCAUCCAAACACUAUUUACCUUAUUCCUAGCAACAACGCAAUUUUCAUCCAAACGCAAACUUGGUCUAGUUUCUGCUUAUACCUGAACUUGUACAUGUCUCUGGAACAAGCAGUUCUUUACUUAUACCAGAACCAAAUGCAACCAAAGUGUUUUUUAAUUUGUAAUUUUAAUGGUGGAUAUGAGACGUUUUCUCAUUUAAUGGUGUAAAACUAUCUAAAUCAAUUGAAUUUUGAUUAGAAAAUUCUUUAAACCAUUUAGAACAAGAUCUAUACUCUCGAUCUUGAUUAUAAAAUUCAUAUCAUCAUUUUUUAGAGAAUAUUCAUUUUUAGCCGUUCAUUUUUACGCCCACUUGAUAGAUAAGAGAACAAUAUCGAAAAAAUAUGAAAUUUGAUUUUUAAAUACUUUAAGUGGUAUAGAUCAUUUUCAACGGUGCCAAUCGUCGAUUUGGAGGCUUUAUCAUCGAAAACAAAUAGGUGGCAAUAGAGCUUGUUUACUACCGAUAGUAUUCCAGCUCAACUAUGUAUAUUUAUAUAUAUAUAUAGAGAGAGAGAGAGAGAGAGAGAGUACGGCUAUAGUGUUUGUAAAAGCACCAAGCAUUUUGUGCUUGUGAAUUUUUUACCGUUAAAUCUACGCUUUUGUUAGAUUAUACUAUUCAACCAAACACCCUGUAAGGGUUGAGAUUUUGGCAAUGUAGCUAAACUUUCUGUUGAUGAUGUUUUUGUAUGUAAUUUAAUUACAUAAGCACUCGUCAAGUUUUAGGAAAAAACGAGUUAGAACGGAAAUGUUACGCGAUCAAUACUAAUCACUUAAAGUGAAUAGUAACUCCGGUUCUCCGGAGAGGCUGAUGAGUGGAGGUGGCUUCUGGUGCGUAUCGGACUCCGUUCAUAGCGAUCCAGUAGCUCGUUUUGAAUAGUUCAGCUAUUCUAGAACCAUUGGCGCUGACGGAUUUCAGAUCUGAUGCACGAUUUUCGAGAAAACUAGAGAUACAUAUAAAUUAUGUAUUUAUGUGUGGUUUUUGGUUUUUUGAGAGUGGAUGGGUUUUGUCGUGAAUCUGUGAUCAAAACAGGCAAAACAAAAUCGUAGUUUUGAUGUCUCUGUCGUGCUGACUGCGUCAGUACAAUCUAUUCGGAAAUCCGACGAACGGAUCGCCGAAUAUUGCAUGAUGAUCGGGAAGGGGUCGAAAGUGACAAAUCAGAACUUCGCAAAAGUCAUAACAUUUUAUGUAUCGUUUUGCGUGAAAUCGAGCGUGGAGGUGCGUACACGCGUUAUACACGCGCUGUGAGGGACUUAGUUGAAAAUAAUCAACUAUGGAGGACUUUUGUGCAAAAAUGCCAUUUCUAUAAAUAGACUAUUGUCUGCCACCACGAAUGACGUACAUCGCACGGGGAAUUUUUAUCUUUUGGUUCUCCCGUGGGAUAGUAUUCAUGAUGUAGAUUAAAGUAUGUGUAUAUAUGGUUAUCAGGUAAUGCGAAUCCAUGGCUUCCAAUAAACGCAAGCGUCUAUUGUUAAUUACCCCUAUAGAAUAUUAGGGCACCUUCGAUUAAGAGACCUCUGAAAUGCUGAAGAUAAACUGGAAUUGGACAAAAGGAAAUUUAUAAUUUAUUGCUCAAUUACAUUGGCUUUAACCAAGGGCAUACCCUCAGUGUACAUGAAUAGAGCGUAAAGAAAAUGUAUUUUUCAAUUGUAUCUUAAUUAUAUAUUCUAAGAUACCCAAUAUAUGGUCAAAUUAAUUUUGUUGGACUCUAUAUGUUGUGGAGCUCAACACUAUUCACCCUAAGAUGA